UGAAUACGAGAUGCUACGGCGUCGAAGCAGUCUAUGUCAUACUUCCAAGAAAAGCUUGCACUGUCAUAAACAAAUAAUGCCUGUACCAUAACCGACACAGGUGGGUAGGUAGAGUAUACUAAGGGGCGCGAGAUAACUCUCUCUAAGGAACUCGGCAAAAUGACUCCGUAACUUCGGGAGAAGGAGUGCCUUAUUUAUAAGGUUGCAAUAACAAGAUCCAAGCAACUGUUUACCAAAAACACAGGUCUCCGCUAAGUCGUAAGACGAUGUAUGGGGGCUGACGCCUGCCCAGUGCCAGAAGGUUAAAGAAGUUGGUUAGCAUCCGAAGCUGAUAACUGAAGCCCUGGUGAACGGCGGCCGUAACGAUAACGGUCCUAAGGUAGCGAAAUUCCUUGUCGGGUAAGUUCCGACCCGCACGAAAGGCGUAAUGAUUUGGAUACUGUCUCGGAGAGGGGCUCGGUGAAAUAGACUUGUCUGUGAAGAUGCGGACUACCUGCACCAGGACAGAAAGACCCUAUGAAGCUUUACUGUAACCUGAAAUUGAAAUUGGACUUUACUUGCGCAGUAUAGGUGGGAGGCGUUGAGAAUAUUCUUGCGGGAUUAUUGGAGCCAUCAGUGAGAUACCACUCUUGUAAUGUUAGAUUUCUAACUUUGUAUCAUUAUCUGGUCAAAGAACAGUUUCAGGCGGGCAGUUUGACUGGGGCGGUCGCCUCCUAAACGGUAACGGAGGCGCACAAAGGUUUCCUCUGAACGGGUAGAAAUCGUAUCUAGAGUGUAAAGGCAUAAGGAAGCUUGACUGUGAGACCUACAAGUCGAGCAGGGACGAAAGUCGGUCUUAGUGAUCUGACGGUGCUGAGUGGAAAGGCCGUCACUCAACGGAUAAAAGUUACUCUAGGAUAACAGGCUGAUCUCCCCCAAGAGUUCACAUCAACGGGGAGGUUUGGCACCUCGAUGUCGGCUCAUCGCAUCCUGGGGCGGUAGUACGUCCCAAGGGUUGGGCUGUUCGCCCAUGAAAGCGGUACGCGAGCUGGGUUCAGAACGUCGUGAGACAGUUCUGUCCAUAUCCGGUGUAGGCGUUAGAAUAUUGAGAGGAGCCUUCUUUAGUACGAGAGGGCCGAGAAGGACAUACCUCUGGUGUACCAGUUAUCGUGCCAACGGUAAACGCUGGGUAGCUAUGUGUGGAGUGGAUAACCGCUGAAAGCAUCUAAGUGGGAAGCCCACCUCAAGAUAAG
rnacentral:rRNA from 1 species